UACGUAGGGUGCAAGCGUUGUCCGGAAUGACUGGGCGUAAAGGGCGCGUAGGCGGCUUGCACCGUCAGAUGUGAAAUUCCUGGGCUUAACCUGGGGGCUGCAUUUGAUACGUGUGGGCUUGAGUGCGGAAGAGGGUCGUGGAAUUCCCAGUGUAGAGGUGAAAUUCGUAGAUAUUGGGAAGAACACCGGUGGCGAAGGCGGCGACCUGGUCCGUGACUGACGCUGAGGCGCGAAAGCGUGGGGAGCAAACAGG
rnacentral:rRNA from 1 species